GUACCAAAUAAUUAAUGCUCUGUAAUCAUUUAAAGGUAUUUUGAACGGACCUCUGUUUGACACGUCUGAAUAACUAAAAAACAAAAAUUUGCCACCUAAGUGGCUUUUUUU
rnacentral:ncRNA from 23 species